rnacentral:rRNA from 1 species
GACGAACGCUGGCGGCAUGCCUAAUACAUGCAAGUCGAGCGAACAGAUGAAGUGCUUGCACUUCUGACGUUAGCGGCGAACGGGUGAGUAACACGUAAGGAAUCUACCUAUAAGCGGGGGAUAACAUUCGGAAACGGGUGCUAAUACCGCAUAAUAUCUUCUUCCGCAUGGAAGAAGAUUGAAAGACGGCUCUGCUGUCACUUAUAGAUGACCUUGCGGUGCAUUAGUUAGUUGGUGGGGUAACGGCCUACCAAGACGAUGAUGCAUAGCCGACCUGAGAGGGUGAUCGGCCACAUUGGGACUGAGACACGGCCCAAACUCCGACGGGAGGCAGCAGUAGGGAAUCUUCCGCAAUGGGCGAAAGCCUGACGGAGCAAUGCCGCGUGAGUGAAGAAGGCCUUCGGGUCGUAAAACUCUGUUAUAAGAGAAGAACAAAUUGUAGAGUAACUGCUACAGUCCUGACGGUAUCUUAUCAGAAAGCCACGGCUAACUACGUGCCAGCCGCCGCGGUAA